rnacentral:rRNA from 1 species
AGAGUUUGAUCAUGGCUCAGGAUGAACGCUGGCGGCGUGCCUAAUACAUGCAAGUCGAACGAGGUGCUUUUGUAGCAAUACGAGGGUAUCCUAGUGGCGAACGGGUGAGUAACGCGUUGGUGACCUGCCCCAAAGUGUGGGAUAACAGUUCGAAAGGACUGCUAAUACCGCAUGUGGUCAUCGGAUUUAGAAACCGAUGUCUAAAGCAGUAAUGCGCUUUGGGAGGGACCUGCGUCCCAUCAGCUAGUUGGUGAGGUAACGGCCCACCAAGGCGACGACGGGUAGGGGACCUGAGAGGGUGACCCCCCACAAUGGAACUGAAACACGGUCCAUACACCUACGGGUGGCAGCAGUAGGGAAUAUUGCACAAUGGGCGAAAGCCUGAUGCAGCAACGCCGCGUGCACGAAGAAGGUCUUCGGAUCGUAAAGUGCUUUUCUGAGAGAUGAGAAAGGACAGUAUCUCAGGAAUAAGUCUCGGCUAACUACGUGCCAGCAGCCGCGGUAAAACGUAGGAGGCAAGCGUUAUCCGGAUUCACUGGGCGUAAAGCGUGUGCAGGCGGUUCGGUAAGUUGGGCGUGAAAUCUCCCGGCUCAACUGGGAGAGGUCGUUCAAUACUACCGGACUAGAGAGCAGUAGAGGAAGAUGGAAUUCCCGGUGUAGUGGUGAAAUGCGUAGAUAUCGGGAGGAACACCAGUGGCGAAGGCGAUCUUCUGGACUGUUUCUGACGCUCAUACACGAAAGCUAGGGUAGUAAACGGGAUUAGAGACCCCGGUAAUCCUAGCUGUAAACGAUGUGAACUUGGGCGUCGGUGGCUUAAACACUAUCGGG